ACGCUGGCGGCGUGCCUAACACAUGCAAGUCGAACGGAGUAGUUUCUUCGGAGAUUACUUAGUGGCGGACGGGCGAGUAACGCGUGAGCAACCUGCCCUUCAGUGGGGGACAACAGUUGGAAACGACUGCUAAUACCGCAUAAUGUCACGAGGCCGCAUGACCUUGUGACCAAAGGAUUUAUUCGCUGAAGGAUGGGCUCGCGUCCGAUUAGGUAGUUGGUGAGGUAACGGCCCACCAAGCCGACGAUCGGUAGCCGAACUGAGAGGUUGAUCGGCCGCAUUGGGACUGAGACACGGCCCAGACUCCUACGGGAGGCAGCAGUGGGGGAUAUUGCACAAUGGAGGAAACUCUGAUGCAGCAACGCCGCGUGAGGGAAGAAGGUCUUCGGAUUGUAAACCUUUGUCUUUGGUGACGAACAAAUGACGGUAGCCAAGGAGGAAGCUCCGGCUAACUACGUG
rnacentral:rRNA from 1 species